CAUUGGAAGACCUUCUUUGGCACCAAACAAUGUCAUUUGAAAGAGGCAGUUAUUUUGUCUGAUGUUCUUCUUGAACUCAUUUGCAGCAUCUAUGUAUAUGUAUACAGAGCAUUUCCCUCUACAAGCAACAUAUGAGUAUAAAGCAGGAGUCUGGAGAUUGCAGAAAAACAGCCAAGUUGAGCCUCAUUUUCAUAAACCCCAAGAUCAGGACUGCUACAAUCCAACAAAAAGUAUACAGUGGGAAGACAGAAAAUUUUAAAAGACAUCAAGAUGGCACCUGCAGUAUCAUGAUUGAAACUCUGACUCUUUUUUAAACAUGUUUCACACAUUAAAAAGGAGUAGAGAUUUGA